rnacentral:misc_RNA from 1 species
UUUUCUUUUUUUUUUUUUUUGGGUUUUUGUUUGGCACAGUUGUGUUUAUGUGACAUCGUGACCUCUUCAAUCAAUCAAACUGUACAGUGCUGGGAAAUAAACAAAGUGCCAUAAAUUUUUCCUUGGUUGGUGAAGCCUCGUUUAGCAUUAUUAUUACAAUAAAAAUACAAUGAGAGUGGAGAGGAAUUAAAGUUAUAAAACUCAGUGUGAAAAUGGAAUCUUAAUCUCUGUUUGGAAACAUAAUAAAAAUGCGAGGAUGGAAAAUAAAUAAAAUUUAUUUUUUUAUUUAAUUAGAAAGGUAAAAAUCAAAAAG